rnacentral:piRNA from 1 species
UCCUUGACAUUUAGAAAUAUC